ensembl:lncRNA
AUUUUGAGGAGUCAGAUGAGGGCAACCACAGCAGUAAGGAGGUUAGAAAUCAUCAAAGUGGCAGUACAAAGCCCCCAGGAGGAUUGGUUCUGGAGGAAAGAGCACUUUGGAAGAUUGUCAUGUGGAACAUAAACAUUUCCCAUGGUGCUUCUUUGACCCAAAUAAUGAUGCUACAAGCAGUGCUAGCAGAAAAAUGGGCAUGGAAUAGUUGUUGUUGAAUUGAAGGUGGGUAGAUAUAUGAACAUCUACCCCAGGGCAUACUGAGUGCAAAUGAAGCUAACUUCAAAAGUCUGUGAAAUGAGUUGUUUCUAAGGACAGUUAAGUCGCUUUUACCAGGAAGAAUUAAGAUGUCAUUUUUUUGUUCCCUAAAUUUUAAAGUGCCCUCAUCACAGUUUCUUACAUCGUCUUCCUCUUGAGAUUACACCUUCCAACACUGCUGCUGAUUGAUGAUUGAUUCAUGCAGGUGGCCUCAGCUAGGGAACAAAGCUAAGCACAGCCAAGCUAUGAUUAACCUUACCCGUUUAGCUCUGGAACAGAACUCUCUGUUCCAAAAUGGAUUAUGGGCACUCAAAGUUCUUUAAAGACCUACUAGAUAUUUUAGGAAAAGACUUCCUAGGUAUAUGGGAAAAUAUUUUUAUAAACACUUUUUUCUCUCAUGAUAGAAGUAUAUUGUUUUUUUUUUUUUCUUUUUUUUUUUUCCCUUGGAGAGCUUGCUUAAGCAAGGAUUGGUUUUCCUAUGUCUCUGAAGAUGAGAUAAAAAGCAAGGAUUUUGGAGUUCAAGUUCUGGUUCCACCUCUUAUUAGCAGUGAGAUCUUGAACAUUACCUAAUCCUGCAAGCCUUGGGAUUCUCACUGCAGGACUGGAAUACUUGUGGCAUCUUCCUUAUAAGAUUGUUGGAAAUGUUGAGACAAUGUGUUUGAAGUACGUAACACAGCAUUAGUCCUAAAUAAAUGUUAGUUCUUGGUUACUGUUAGUUCUUGUGUUAUUACUACAACUACUAUUAAAAAAACACACGCAAAACCUGGAUAUAGG